rnacentral:rRNA from 1 species
CCACCGGUGGGAUUGCUUAGUAACGGCGAGUGAAGCGGCAAAAGCUCAAAUUUGAAAUCUGGCACCUUCGGUGUCCGAGUUGUAAUUUGAAGAAGCAACUUUGGUGCUGGUCCUUGUCUAUGUUCCUUGGAACAGGACGUCAUAGAGGGUGAGAAUCCCGUGUGGCGAGGAUCCCAGUGCUAUGUAAAGUGCUUUCGACGAGUCGAGUUGUUUGGGAAUGCAGCUCUAAGUGGGUGGUAAAUUCCAUCUAAAGCUAAAUAUUGGCGAGAGACCGAUAGCGAACAAGUACAGUGAUGGAAAGAUGAAAAGAACUUUGAAAAGAGAGUGAAAAAGUACGUGAAAUUGUUGAAAGGGAAGGGCAUUUGAUCAGACAUGGUGUUUUGCGACCCUCGCUCCUUGUGGGUGGGGAUCUCGCAGCUCACUGGGCCAACAUCGGUUUUGGCGGCAGGAUAAAACUUUGGGAAUGUAGCUUGUCUUCGGAGAAGUAUUAUAGCCCAAGGCAAUACUGCCAGCCGGGACCGAGGACUGCGACUUUGUCAAGGAUGUUGGCAUAAUGGUUAUAUGCCGCCCGUCUUGAAACACGGACCA